rnacentral:misc_RNA from 1 species
GAUCAUACUUGGUCAAGUAUCGCUGGUCACAGCUGUGGUCGUUAUAAGGAAGAUCAGGAGAAGAAGUCUGAACGGGCUAAGCGUGAUCUCUAUCGCUACAUGCAUUAUCACAAUCGUUAUAAAGCUCAUACGGAUUCUUUUACACAGGAGUCUCGUCUGAGGGAGACCAUAAAAGAAAAGGUAGCAAAUUUAGAAUCAAGGGAUUCAAGAUUGAGAGACUUUAGUUGGGUUACAAAUGGACUUUACAGGCUGUUCAGAUCAAGACGGGCUCUCUCAUUUUCAUACCCAUUUGCAUUUUAUAUGUUUGGUGAUGACUUAUUUAAGGAUGAAAUGACAAAUGAGGAAAAGGAAAUAAAACAGCAUUUAUUUGAGGACCAGCAACAGCAGCUUGAGGCAAAUGUUGAAAAGUUAUCAAAAGUUUUUGAGGAUCCAUUUGAUAGUUUUGAAGAGACAGAGAUUAUGGAAAUGAGGAUGCAAG